AUACCUUUCUCGGCCUUUUGGCUAAGAUCAAGUGUAGUAUCUGUUCUUAUCAGCUUAAUAUCUGAUACGUGGGACAUUGUCCCACAUGAUAUUAAAUUUAUUUUUCUAGGGAAAGGAUUCAUCACAGUAGCUUUGCUACUGGAAUUCUCAAGCGUCACCCAUGCUUUGCACUGCAGCAAGGGCCUGGCGCACCCCUU